CUCCGCAGCCAGCUGCCUACGCCCCAGAAGGAGCCGGACCUUUCCCCUUGGGCUUCCCCUUUGACUGCCUUGACCCCGGGGAAAUUUGGAAGGAGCGACUCCCUACUACCCAGAGCCCAUUUGGCCUCCCUGCAAAGAAGGAAGGAUGAGAAGGCGGAGGCACCAGGCUUAUUUCCACAGCAUCCUGGGAUGGCAGAGAUGCUGCCCGCCAUUUGUUCAGGUGAGUGGACUGACCCCCAGAGAGGGCAGGCCCAGACCCCAGCCCAGCUCCAGGUACCUGUUAGUCAUCUGCCUUUUUCUAAGACCUCACUCCACAUCUCUACUGCCGCCUGUAUCUCCCUUCUCUGUCUUUUCCUCCAUACCUUGCCUCUACUUCGGACUCUCUUUCCUUUCCCCUUUUUCCCUUCAAGAUUCCUGAUCCUCACAUCAGCUAAGGCCAUUCCCACCCUUAAAGCCGCUGCUCAGUACUCCAGUUCCACAAAGCCCUGCCCUUACCCCUGGCCACAGACACAUGUCCCCUCCCCGACCCUCCCCUGUUCCCUUGCCUACCAAAGAAAAGAGGCCCAGACAGCAGCAGCCUCACUACGAUGGUGCAGGAAUUCAUCCUUCCAGCGGCCGCAGGGACCUGACCAAGGAAGGCUCCAGGUUCAGAGAGCCCUGGGGAUUCGCUGACAACCCAGACAGGUCGGAAGAGCA